rnacentral:rRNA from 1 species
AUUGAACGCUGGCGGCAGGCCUAACACAUGCAAGUCGAGCGGAUGAAGGGAGCUUGCUCCUGGAUUCAUCGGCGGACGGGUGAGUAAUGCCUAGGACUCUGCCUGGUAGUGGGGGAUAACGUCCGGAAACGGGCGCUAAUACCGCAUACGUCCUGAGGGAGAAAGUGGGGGAUCUUCGGACCUCACGCUAUCAGAUGAGCCUAGGUCGGAUUAGCUAGUUGGUGGGGUAAAGGCCUACCAAGGCGACGAUCCGUAACUGGUCUGAGAGGAGGAUCAGUCAUCCUGGAACUGAGACACGGUCCAGACGCCUACGGGAGGCAGCAGUGGGGAAUAUUGGACAAUGGGCGAAAGACUGAUCCAGCCAUGCCGCGUGUGUGAAGAAGGUCUUCGGAUUGUAAAGCACUUUAAGUUGGGAGGAAGGGCAGUAAGUUAAUACCUUGCUGUGUUGACGUUACCAACAGAAUAAGCACCGGCUAACUUCGUG